AUCAGGCACACGUGGAUCCAGUGUGGCACCUGGGUUCAGUCACGCAUGCGGCACUUUCUGCCCCGUGAGCGUGUGUGUCCGACCAGCCCGUGGGCCCCCCCAGGCCAGCGCGUCCAGACAAGUGUCCUGCGGCUGGUCACACCUGCCUCCUGCUCUCCCCGACCCGGGAGACUGGCUGGCCCUCCGAGACGGUGAAGGGCCCUAAGGCGGAUGUGAAGACCACAGCUCUAGGAAGAACUGGUGAGAACAGAUGGACGCUGCAAUGUUUUUGGCCAGAAAUGGGGAUCUCCAGGAACAGGACUGACCCAGUUUCGGUCCUCUACCCAGAGCCCGGCCCUCACGCUAGGGCUGUGGGGUGCUCACUGCACGGUGGGGGAGGACAGGUCAGCAGCCGGGACCAUGAGGUCCAUCCUGGGUCCUGCUGGGGGACCUAGGGCAGAGGUCUGCCCCAUGCAGGGAAGAGGGCAGGGAUCCGGGACCCCCAAGUCCCCCACGUCGGACAGAUUCA